UCCCUACGGGGNGCAGCAGGCGCGAAAACUUUACAAUGCGGGCAACCGUGAUAAGGGAACCUCGAGUGCCUGUAUAUGCAGGCUGUCCAGGUGCUAAAUAACACCUGAAGAAAGGGCCGGGCAAGACCGGUGCCAGCCGCCGCGGUAAUACCGGCGGCUCGAGUGGUGGCCGCUUUUAUUGGGCUUAAAGCGUUCGUAGCUGGGUUAUUAAGUCUCUUGGGAAAUCCGGCGGCUCAACCGUCGGGCGUCUAAGGGAUACUGGUAAUCUUGGAACCGGGAGAGGUGAGGGGUACUUCGGGGGUAGGAGUG
rnacentral:rRNA from 1 species